rnacentral:rRNA from 1 species
GAUGAACGCUGGCGGCGUGCCUAAUACAUGCAAGUCGAGCGAACAGACGAGGAGCUUGCUCCUCUGACGUUAGCGGCGGACGGGUGAGUAACACGUGGAUAACCUACCUAUAAGACUGGGAUAACUUCGGGAAACCGGAGCUAAUACCGGAUAAUAUAUUGAACCGCAUGGUUCAAUAGUGAAAGACGGCUUUGCUGGCACUUAUAGAUGGAUCCGCGCCGCAUUAGCUAGUUGGUAAGGUAACGGCUUACCAAGGCAACGAUGCGUAGCCGACCUGAGAGGGUGAUAGGCGACACUGGAGGUGAGACGCGGUCCAGACGCCUACGGGAGGCAGCAGAAGGGAAUCGUCCGCAGUAGGCGAAAGCUUGACGGAGCAACGCCGAGUGAGUGAUGAAGGUCUUCGGAUCGUAAAACUCUGUUAUUGGGGAAGAACAAAUGUGUAAGUAACUAUGCACGUCUUGACGGUACCUAAUCAGAAAGCCACGGCUAACUACGUG